CCCCACUCAAGGUUGCACUUGGAGAGUUUCUAGUACUCUACCAGUCCCAGCUAUGGGAGGGAGAGUCAAGCAGAGGCCUACCCAUUCCAUUCCUAGCUCGGGCAGUGGAUAGCGAGUGGAAAGCAAUCUGCUACAAGU